rnacentral:rRNA from 1 species
UACGUAGGAGACGAGCGUUGUCCGGAGUUACUGGGCGUAAAGCGUGCGCAGGCGGCGCGUUAAGACAGGUGUGAAAGCCCCGAGCUUAACUUGGGAAUUGCGCUUGUGACUGGCGUGCUGGAGUGUGGCAGAGGGAGGUGGAAUUCCACGUGUAGCAGUGAAAUGCGUAGAGAUGUGGAGGAACACCGAUGGCGAAGGCAGCCUCCUGGGCCAGCACUGACGCUCAUGCACGAAAGCGUGGGGAGCAAACAGG